GUGGAUUCGAUACCCGAGUAGUCCACGCCCUAAACGAUGCUUGCUAGCUGUUAUUCGUAUCGACCCGAGUAGUAGCGAAGCUAACGCGUUAAGCAAGCCGCCUGGGGAGUACGGUCGCAAGAUUAAAACUCAAAGGAAUUGACGGGGACCCGCACAAGCGGUGGAGCGUGUUGUUUAAUUCGAUGAUAAGCGUAGAACCUUACCAAGGUUUGACAUCCUGGGAAGGUCUCCGAAAGGAGACUGUGCCUUCGGGAAUCCAGUGACAGGUGAUGCACGGCCGUCGUCAGCU
rnacentral:rRNA from 1 species